CCUACGGGACGCAGCAGUGGGGAAUAUUGCACAAUGGGGGAAACCCUGAUGCAGCGACGCCGCGUGAGUGGGGAAGUAUUUCGGUAUGUAAAGCUCUGUCAGCAGGGAAGAAAGAAAUGACGGUACCUGACCAAGAAGCCCCGGCUAACUACGUGCCAGCAGCCGCGGUAAUACGUAGGGGGCAAGCGUUAUCCGGAAUUACUGGGUGUAAAGGGAGCGUAGACGGUUAAGUAAGUCUGGAGUGAAAGGCCGGGGCCCAACCCCGGGACUGCUCUGGAAACUGUUUAUCUAGAGUGUCG
rnacentral:rRNA from 1 species